UUAUUUUAAUGAAAUUCCUUCAUACUGAGCAUGCACGUAGCGAUAGUGGGGAGGAAAAACUCCCCUUUAACAGGAAGAAACCUCCAGCAGAAGCCGA